GAUGAACGCUGGCGGCGUGCUUAACACAUGCAAGUCGAACGGAAAGGCCCAAGCUUGCUUGGGUACUCGAGUGGCGAACGGGUGAGUAACACGUGGGUGAUCUGCCCUGCACUUCGGGAUAAGCCUGGGAAACUGGGUCUAAUACCGGAUAGGACCACAUUUUGGAUGGUGUGGUGGAAAGUUUUUCGGUGUGGGAUGAGCUCGCGGCCUAUCAGCUUGUUGGUGGGGUAAUGGCCUACCAAGGCGUCGACGGGUAGCCGGCCUGAGAGGGUGUACGGCCACAUUGGGACUGAGAUACGGCCCAGACUCCUACGGGAGGCAGCAGUGGGGAAUAUUGCACAAUGGGCGCAAGCCUGAUGCAGCGACGCCGCGUGGGGGAUGACGGCCUUCGGGUUGGAAACUCAUUUCGCUAGGGACGAAGCGUUAUGUGACGGUACCUGGAGAAGAAGCACCGGCUAACUACGUG
rnacentral:rRNA from 1 species